rnacentral:rRNA from 2 species
CNGUGAAACWGCAGAUGGCUCAUUAAAUCAGUUAUAAUUUCUAUGAUGGUUGUAGUUUCUCUUUUUUUCUUUCUUGGCUUUUCGGAGCUUUGAAGGUGAGAUGAAAUACUAAAUGGAUAGCCGUACUAAUUGUGGAGCUAAUACAUGCACGAGUGGCUCCUUUUUUUGAGGGGGUUGCUAUUUGAAAAAGUCUCAAUCUCGUUUUGCGAGAGAGGGAUGUGUUUAUUAGACGCGAAACUAUGUUUCUUCGGAAACUACGGUGAAUCACAAUAACCUGAUCGAAUCGCAUGUCCUCAUUGUUAUGGGGAUGGCGAUAGUUCAUUCAAAUUUCUGCUUUAUCAACUUUUGUCGGGUGUAUAGAGGACAUCUGAGGUGAUAACGAAUGGCGGGGAAUCAGGGUUCUUUUCCGGAGAGGGAGCCUGAGAAACGGCUACCACAUCCAAGGAAGGCAGCAGGCGCGCAAAUUACCCAAUCCUAACACAGGGAGGUAGUGACAAGAAAUAUCAAUACCGGGUUCUUUUAGAGCUUGGUAAUUGAAAUGAGUACAAUUUAAACCCCUUAACGAGGAUCAACUGGAGGGCAAGUCUGGUGCCAGCAGCCGCGGUAAUUCCAGCUCCAGUAGCGUAUAUUAAAGUUGUUGCAGUUAAAAAGCUCGUAGUUGGAUUUGUUGCGGCGGUUUUUGGUGGCCUUUGCUUUUGUGUUCUCGGCUUUUUUUUAAGGCUGGGUUGACAGGAGUGGGUCACACGCCGCAAUCCUUGAUGUUUUUGAUUGUUCCUUUAUCGGACUUUCAAGUGACAUCAUCCUUUACUUUGAAAAAAUUGGAGUGAUUCAAGCAGGCGAAAUUAACAUGGCGAAUUUCAAAUUCGUUGAUUUAUUCAUUUUUGCUUCUGCACAUGUUAGCAUGGAAUAAUGCAAGAGGACUUGGGUUUUCUCUUUCAUUGGUUUCAGGAAUCCGAGUAAUGAUUGAUAGGGACAGUUGGGGGUGCUCGUACUCGACGGCCAGAGGUGAAAUUCUUGGAUUCGUUGAAGACGAACAACUGCGAAAGCAUUCACCAAGGAUGUCUUCUUUAAUCAAGAACGAAAGUUGGGGGAUCGAAGAUGAUCAGAUACCGUCGUAGUCCCAACCAUAAACGAUGCCGACCAGGGAUCAGCGAGCGUUGACUUUGCACACUUUGGUUGACCUUUUUUGGUGAACCAGGUGUUGCAAACCUCAUUAAUUUGAAACGACCUCGUUGGCACCUUGCGAGAAAUCACCAGUCUUUGGGCUCCGGGGGGAGUAUGGUCGCAAGGCUGAAACUUAAAGGAAUUGACGGAAGGGCACAACCAGCAGUGGAGCCUGCGGUUUAAAUUGACUCAACACGGGAAAACUUACCAGGUCCAGACAUCAUAAGGAUUGACAGAUUGAAGHUCUUUCUUGAUUYKRUGG